AUAAUGACAAUGCCAAGGAGUAGUAAUAAAUUAUUUCAGGAAUAGAGAGGCAAUGGUAGGUGGAAAUUGUCCCUGUUUAUUUAUGAACUCGCCUUGAGCUGUUGCAGGAGCGAAAAUUGCAGAGUAGUUUCUGACGUAUGUCCUCGUUACGGAUUUCAAGUGAAUGCUGAUGAGCAUUAAAAUGGGUGGUACCGCGGGUGAAAGCAUCUCGUCCCUUCU
rnacentral:ncRNA from 1 species